rnacentral:rRNA from 1 species
GGUGAAGAUAAGAUGGAUUAGCGGCGGACGGGUGAGUAACACGUGAGUAACCUGCCUUAGACAUUGGGAUAGCCUCCGGGAAACCGGGAUUAAUACCAAAUGAAAUCACAUAUGCACAUGCAUAAAUGAUCAAAGCUCCGGCGGUCUAAGAUGGACUCGCGUCCCAUUAGCUAGUUGGUGAGGUAACGGCCCACCAAGGCGACGAUGGGUAGCCGGCCUGAGAGGGUGAACGGCCACAUUGGAACUGAGAAACGGUCCAAACUCCUACGGGAGGCAGCAGUGGGGAAUAUUGCACAAUGGAGGGAACUCUGAUGCAGCGACGCCGCGUGAACGAAGAAGGCUUUCGAGUCGUAAAGUUCUUUUAUGUGGGAAGAUAAUGACGGUACCAUAAGAAAAAGCCCCGGCUAACUACGUGCCAGCAGCCGCGGUAAUACGUAGGGGGCUAGCGUUGUCCGGAAUCACUGGGCGUAAAGGGUUCGCAGGCGGAAAUGCAAGUCAGGUGUAAAAGGCAGUAGCUUAACUACUGUAAGCAUUUGAAACUGCAUAUCUUGAGAAGAGUAGAGGUAAGUGGAAUUUUUAGUGUAGCGGUGAAAUGCGUAGAUAUUAAAAAGAAUACCGGUGGCGAAGGCGACUUACUGGGCUCAUUCUGACGCUGAGGAACGAAAGCGUGGGUAGCAAACAGGAUUAGAUACCCUGGUAGUCCACGCUGUAAACGCACUGAGUGCUAGGUAUCUGGAGUAAAUCUGGGUGCCGC